rnacentral:rRNA from 1 species
AUCUACGGCCAUGAUACCUACCCUGAACGUGCCCGAUCUCGUCUGAUCUGGGAAGCUAAGCAGGGUCGGGCCUGGUUAGUACUUGGAUGGGAGACCACCUAGGAAAAUCAGGUGCUACAGACA